rnacentral:ncRNA from 1 species
UAUAAAACUUUUAGCUGUUCUUUAGAUGUACUUAAUGUAUUGAUUUUAGUGAAAACUGUAACUAAGUGACUUUUGGUAUUACAUUUAAAAAUCUUCAGUAUGCAUUAUGUAAGCCUUCACUUGUUCCUGCCUCUUUCUUAUCAGUACCCUCUCCAUCCUCCAUCCUCCAGGUGAGCAUCCCAUGGGUGCUGAAGCAUUUACUUUGAAAUAGAGUGUUCAUAGGACCAUGAAGUAUAAAACAGGAUUUUUUCCAGAGCUACCUGCAUAGGCCGCUAGGAAUAAUGGAAUAAGACCAUGGUUCUAUUUUGUUGGUUUUUAGAACUGAGGGCAUGGUUAUGAGGAAUGGCCAGAGACAUACUGCACUGCUACAGGUCUAAUUCUUGGACUGGCUCAAGACAGAAAAGAGUGAAAACACUUGCCAAGAAUAAAUGUUGAGGUUUAAAGGCGAUCAGAUACACUGUAGUUCCAAUCACAAAUGACUGGCUAUACAGCAGCAUUAUAACCACGACCUGUGAGGUAGCUUCCAGGAAACCAAAGUCUUUGGGUU